CAUAUCCCAACUGGCAAAGAUGAGGGCGCUUCAAGAUUAGCAGAUCAGAGGUCGUGAGUUCGAUUCUUGAAAGACUCUUGGAAGGCAUAUAUUCACCUGGAAGGCAGGAGCUCUACUGGAAGACAGUGUGUAAAGAUGGAAAACGACUUGUUUGACACUUUGGCAGAUCAGUUGAAGGGCUCUUGAGCACUGAUCAGUUUGGGGCACAACCUGCGG
rnacentral:lncRNA from 1 species